rnacentral:tRNA from 1 species
CUAAGGACAAGCGGCGGAGUGCGCUUCGGUCUCGUACCGGAGAAGAGCUUCCUCCCUAUCCAAAGACAUUCCAAUCCGCCGUCCUCAUGUCCCUUCAUCCUAGGUUACUCCCCUGACGGGGAGUAUAGCUUGAGCUGGCUUACCGCCUCGCGGCCUUAUGGCCGGUGAGUGCAGGGGGCCGGUAGCUCAGGUGGUUAGAGCGCACGCCUGAUAAGCGUGAGGUCGUAGGUUCAACUCCUACUCGGCCCACCACUGCGCAGGCAGCGAGACGAAAUAGCGUGAGCUAUUUUGCACGCAGCCCAGCACGGCCAGCGCUGGCAUAGCGCGCCAUAAGGCGCAGCUUUGCUGCGACUGACGGCGUGCGGAGAGUGAGGGGCUUUAGCUCAGCUGGGAGAGCGGUUGCUUUGCAAGCAUCAGGUCAUCGGUUCGAUCCCGAUAAGCUCCACCACUCUUCCAAGCCAUAACCUAGAGAUGAAGACACCAGUUCCGCUGCUGACGCAGCGGUUACGAGGUGCUACGAGCACCUCAUCUUUGACAUUGUGAAUGGGUUUUUAAAAUCGAUGCCGUGAAGGUGUCGGCUUUGAAAGUAGAGCGAAGGCGGCAACGCCCAAGCGACACGGACAGGCUGGCAAUUCACAAUAUCUGGCUGAGUAUUUAAUGACCACACCAAUUAGCCACAUCGCGCUGCUCUGCCGAGUCGAUGUCCUUCGGGGCGUCCAGCGUUGAUGGUGGUGGUGUGGGCUCUCAAGCGUGAGGUA